AGAGCUACUUGCUCAAAUUUGGGAAUGGUCUCUCCUGUCUGAGUUGGUCUGCUUGGCAUAACUGGCAUGGGUCAGAAUCCUCAGGGAGGAAAUCAAAUUUGGAGCAGCUUCUAAGCAGCAGAUCACAGGAAUACUGGUUUGGAGUGUUUGCAGAACUUUUGGUCCGAAGUGGCAAGGCCAGUACAGACGGUGGGAAAAGCUGGAAUGCUGCUGCAUGCACUCACGUUUGCCAAGGAGUCCUGACUCGAGAUAAAAUCUACUCUGAACUGAA